AUUGAACGCUGGCGGCAUGCUUUACACAUGCAAGUCGAACGGUGACAGGCCGCAAGGUGCUGACGAGUGGUGAACGGGUGAGUAAUGCAUCGGAACGUGCCCAGUCGUGGGGGAUAACUACUCGAAAGAGUAGCUAAUACCGCAUACGAUCUAUGGAUGAAAGCGGGGGACCGUAAGGCCUCGCGCGAUUGGAGCGGCCGAUGUCAGAUUAGGUAGUUGGUGGGGUAAAGGCUCACCAAGCCAACGAUCUGUAGCUGGUCUGAGAGGACGGCCAGCCACACUGGGACUGAGACACGGCCCAGACUCCUACGGGAGGCAGCAGUGGGGAAUUUUGGACAAUGGGCGCAAGCCUGAUCCAGCAAUGCCGCGUGCAGGAAGAAGGCCUUCGGGUUGUAAACUGCUUUUGUACGGAACGAAACGGCUCUGGUUAAUACCCGGGGCUAAUGACGGUACCGUAAGAAUAAGCACCGGCUAACUACGUG
rnacentral:rRNA from 1 species